rnacentral:rRNA from 1 species
UACAGAGGGUGCGAGCGUUGUCCGGAAUCACUGGGCGUAAAGGGCGCGUAGGCGGUCUCUUAAGCGUGGGGUGAAAGCCCGGGGCUCAACUCCGGGUCGGCCGUGCGAACUGGGGGACUGGAGCUUGUCAGAGGCAGGCGGAAUUCCGGGUGUAGCGGUGGAAUGCGUAGAGAUCCGGAAGAACACCGGUGGCGAAGGCGGCCUGCUGGGACAGUGCUGACGCUGAGGCGCGACAGCGUGGGGAGCAAACAGG